rnacentral:misc_RNA from 1 species
UGAGGAGUACCAAGUCUGUGCUGUCACCGUAGGUGUUGUGGGUGAUUUAUGCAGAGCUUUGGAGGAUAAGAUCUUACCUUAUUGUGAUGGUAUAAUGACACAGCUUCUCAAGGAUCUAUCAAGUAAUCAGCUACAUCGUUCUGUAAAGCCACCAAUAUUUUCAUGCUUUGGUGACAUAGCCUUGGCGAUAGGAGAGAAUUUCGAGAAGUACUUGAUG